rnacentral:rRNA from 1 species
UACGUAGGGGGCAAGCGUUGUCCGGAAUCAUUGGGCGUAAAGCGCGUGUAGGCGGUUAGGUAAGUCUGCUCUGAAAGCCCGGGGCUCAACCCCGGGAGGCGGGUGGAUACUGUCUAGCUCGAGUCCGGAAGAGGGGUGUGGAAUUCCUGGUGUAGCGGUGAAAUGCGCAGAUAUCAGGAGGAACACCAAUGGCGAAGGCAGCACUCUGGGACGUGACUGACGCUGAGACGCGAAAGCGUGGGGAGCAAACAGG